rnacentral:rRNA from 1 species
CCUACGGGAGGCAGCAGUGGGGAAUAUUGCACAAUGGGCGAAAGCCUGAUGUAGCGACGCCGCGUGAGGGAUGACGGCCUUCGGGUUGUAAACCUCUUUCAGCAGGGAAGAAGCGAGAGUGACGGUACCUGCAGAAGAAGCGCCGGCUAACUACGUGCCAGCAGCCGCGGUAAUACGUAGGGCGCAAGCGUUGUCCGGAAUUAUUGGGCGUAAAGAGCUCGUAGGCGGCUUGUCACGUCGGGUGUGAAAGCCCGGGGCUUAACCCCGGGUCUGCAUUCGAUACGGGCUAGCUAGAGUGUGGUAGGGGAGAUCGGAAUUCCUGGUGUAGCGGUGAAAUGCGCAGAUAUCAGGAGGAACACCGGUGGCGAAGGCGGAUCUCUGGGCCAUUACUGACGCUGAGGAGCGAAAGCGUGGGGAGCGAACGGGAUUAGAUACCCUGGUAGUCCACGCCGUAAACGGUGGGAACUAGGUGUUGGCGACAUUCCACGUCGUCGGUGCCGCAGCUAACGCAUUAAGUUCCCCGCCUGGGGAGUACGGCCGCAAGGCUAAAACUCAAAGGAAUUGACGG